ACGGGUUCCCCGAUCGCUGUGAAGUUGGAGAGGGGUCCCCAGGUAGGGAUUCUCUUUCUCACAGAAUUUUAGCCACAGAAGAAGCAGUGGCCUGUCUACAAGGGAAAGCUUCGGUCCAAUGACAAACAUACAGACCGCGACUAAAAUGUGUUUCUAUCCCCGAGAUAGGGAAGCUGCAGGAGAUCCAUUUGCCAAACUGGAGUGGCCCUGCAGGCAGUCCAGAGUCUGGGAGCCAUGCAGUUUUCCCCGGACUAUGCUUUGAACAGGUGGGACAAGCAAGUGUGAAGUCUUUCCUGUUGAGAGGCUGUAUGUGUGGUGGUGAAGAGCACAUAUUCUGGAGUGAAAGGUGUGAGUUCAAAUCCCAGCGCCACUGUUUAAUAGCUGUGUGACUUCAUGCUCGUUGGUGUUCCUGUAGGAGCGGAAAAACCUACGUGCACACAAAUACCUGCACAUGAAUGCAUACAACCGCUUCAUUCAUAACUGCCAAGCCUUGGAAGCAAGUUAAAUGUCUUUCAGCAUGUGACUGAAUAAAUUGUGAUUCAUCAAGAUAAAGGAAUAUUAUCCAGCACUAAGAAGAAAUGGACUGCCAGGCCAUGAAGAUGUGUAGAAACCGUAAAUGCAUUAUCACUAAGUGAAAGACGCUAAUCUGAAAAGCAGACUACCAUGCCUGCAGGAAUCUUGCCUGAAAAUGAAGAACCGUAUUCUGCUUCGGUGAAUGACAGUGCACAUGCUGCCGACAUGAAAGCCGUCCCACACGUGGCCAGCAAGAGCCCCUCCCGGCAGCGACGUCCCUGCAUGCCUGCUUCCUGGCCCAGCAUGGUCUUCCAUCGCCCCUGCCCUUUCCCCGUCCCAGCCCUGAAGUCACCCAGUUCUGCAAGGAGCUCUGGUCCUCUCAGUGGGGAAUGGUAUCCAGAAACCCAAAUGUGCUCGUUACUGCGAGGACGUCGCAAUUGCCACGCUCCCCGGGAGACAGAGCUAGGAAGUGUAUGUUAAUAAGUGUGCACAGAUCUCUACCUGCUUUUACAUGUGUAUUUGUUUCUAUAUGGUGAAAACUCUGAGUCCAUAUCAGUACUUCCCAUUGUCAUCCCUCACUACCAUCAUUCUAGCUUUUCCCAUUAUUAUGUUUAUAAGUCCCUUCUUCGAGAAUGAGAAACCUUGCUCUCAUUAUCCCCAGUUUCCUUAUUUCCUCAGGCCUCCUUUUCAUGACCAGUCUCCCAGCCCUGCCAUCGCUCACCUGAGCUCGCCCACACGGAGUCUGUACCCUGCCAGGCCGAGGGCCGCAGACUCUGCUGCACUGACCCUCGAGCACACGGGGGUGGGGUCACUGACCACGGCACAGAUGGAAAUUCACAGAUAACUUCUGACGCUCCAAGAACUUAACUCUAACAGCUGCCUGCUGACUGGGAACCUUGCUGACAACCAUUGACUGACACAGAUUUUGAGUGCCACAUACUGUGUUUUUAUAAUAAAGUAGAUAAAAAAUGUUAAGGAAAUCAUAGGGAAGAGACAAUACAUUGAUGCUGUCCUCUAUUUACCCAAAGACAUCUGCGUAGAGGUGGACACAUGCAGUUCACACCCACAUCGUGCAAGGGUCACCUGUAGUUGCCUUCCUGGGUUGGGCCUGACCUCUGCUACAUGGCCCUCACUUAGGCCUGCCUCAGGGCUGUUUUUAUUUUGAUUAUGUAUAUACUUUUAAUUAAAAGAUUGAGAUAAUUGUGCCGUCACAUGCAGUCGUCAGUCAUAAUACAGGAAGACCCUUCACUCAGAUUCCACCAGUAGUAACAUGUCACAGAUCUGUAGUGCAGUAUCAUAGCCUGGAUGUCGACAUUGUUACAGUGAAGAUGAGAGCACUGGGGGCACCUGGGGGCGCAAUCAGUUAAGGGUCUGACUCUUGGUUUCGGCUCAGGUCAUGAUCUC